AAAAUUAAAAAGAAAACAUAUACAGAAUAAAAUUAUAUUUUUUAUUCUUAUAAAAAAAAUUAUAUUUUUUAUUUUAAAAAAAAAAAGCUCUUUCAUUGAGUUUUGUUUUGGAGAAGGUAGAAGAAGAUCGAUGAACAAUCCCACAAGCCUCAAUCCCUCUUCUUCUCUACACUAUACAGCUUUAAUCCAUCUUCUAGGAUUAGAGAGAAAGAGAUGGGUUGUUGUUGAAGAUGAAGAUCAUGGGUCACUAUGUUUGAAGAAGAUAAAGAUGAAAGAGGGUUUGAUGAACUUUGAAUAAUGAGAUGAAGAUUUAAGGGUUAAAUAUUUUUUGUUUUAUAAAAAUUAGUUUGUUU